GGCGGUCAAGACGGCGGUGACCCAACUCAAUACGCCGAAGACCUAAUCGACGUCGAUGUGGCUCUGACUGCUCCUGCCGACAUCAGUGUGACCAUUGGCGGCGGCCCCGCGACCACGAAGAGCGCCGUGUCCGCUGGCAUCAGCCACUUCCAGGUCCCCUUCAACGGCCAGACCGGCCAGGUUGUGUACACAGUCCGCCGCAAUGGCGCCACCGUCAUGACCGUGCAGGGCAUCCAGAUCUCCUCAGACUGCACCACCGUCAACUGGAACGCAGUCACCGGCUCCCAGACAGCACCAUCCUCG
rnacentral:misc_RNA from 1 species